UGUCCUUACCGGGGUCCAUCGGGACCGGU
rnacentral:sRNA from 1 species